rnacentral:lncRNA from 1 species
UGUUAAAACAGCAGCCGUGUAAAUGGGCCAUGGGGUGGUAAAAGGUUGACAGGAUGAUUAUGCUUGAGGGGCCACUGUUAUGUAUGUCCUUUGGACAGUAGCUUGGAAGAGUUUCAGAGACACUAAUUAAUUCUGCCCCACAGUGAGGGGGUGGUAACCAGCUAGCUCAGUGGGAGGCUGUGCUGGAGAGCUCUGUCUCAGGUCAGAGGACCAGGAAAACACUUCAGGAUCUUACUGCUCUUCCACCUGCAUCCUCCACUCCCAAGUUCCCUUCAUGGCCUCGAAGGCUGAUCCACCUCAAUCCACUUCCUAGCUAACAAGAAGGAGGAGAGUGAAGCGGCAUACUACUCCAAAGAAGAAAACUUUCUGGGAGAGUUUACGUUCAUCAUGGGCUGUGACAGUGAACUCGUGUGGUGAUGAUGGAAAAUAUCAAAAGGUAAAGAAUACUUAUAAAUCUGUUUAAAAUAUAGAAUCAUUUGACAUAUGGGUAUUAACCAGUUAAUAUAACCAACUCUUCAUGUCUAACUGUUAAUUCAUAUAUACU